GUUUAGAGUGACCUGCUGGAUAUCCGUGAAGGUGAAAAUAAAGAGAGUUCAAAAUGUGUUUGUUUACAAAACCACGAGUCUAACAUAACAUGGGCAUGGAGUAGUGGGGAAUAAUGUGACAAGAAUGCUGUCCAUGAGUCUAGAUUUUGAGUUGUUAGGAAGGAUGAGACUGGACUUCAAUGAGAAGAGGAUACUGGGGUACACAGGCAGGUGAGCAGACUCUUAAAACAACUAUAAAUUUCAAUUUACAGGGUUAUUGAGUGAAUAUGUCUCCCCCAAAUCCACGUGUUGAAAUCUUAGCCCACAAUGUGAUGAUAUUAGUAGGUGGUGCCUUUUGGCGGUGAUUAGGUCGUGAGGGUGGAGCCCUCAUGAAUAGGAUUUGUGCCCUUAUAAAAGAGAUUCUAGAGAGCUUUCUCACUCCUUUCCACCACGUGAGAACACAGUGAGAAGACAGUAUCCAUGAAUCAGCAAGAAGGCCCUCACCAGUCACCAAAUCUUCUAGCACCUUGAUCUUCGAAGCCUCAGCCUCCAGAAUUGUGAGAAAUAAAUGUUUGCUGUUUAAGCCACCCAAUGAUGUUUUUGUUGUAACAGCCCAUGGACUAAGACUAUAUAUAUAUGUGUAUGCAUAUGUACAUAUGUAUACAUAUAUGUAUACAUAAUAUUAAUUAUAUAUACACAUUCAGUAUGGCAUCUAUAGCACAGAAUGUUAAUACCUUCAUCAUCAUUUUAUCUGAAGAAAACCAGUCAACAUUCACUGUGAUUUUUAAAUUUUGCAGUUUUUGAUGAUAGACUUAGUAGGAAAUAGACAUGUGGGAAGUUUCCAAUAUGCCUUCUGUACCUAUCACUGAGGAGCUCUGAGCUGAGAUUAUAAUGAGUAGAGCUGUAUUAGAAAACAUUCUCCAUUCUGCUGCACUUCCUCCGGGCUGAGUGAACACGCCGUUUCUUACUGAGUAUGUUUUAUUUAGCAUUUCAGCCAGCUUUCCAAUUUAGCUAACUUUCAGGUUCUCUUGUUAACUUACUUACUUGUGUGCCCAAGUAGAAUUGGAACACCUCUUUUGCAUAAUCACAAUCAGUAGAAUUGGAACACCUCUUUUGCAUAAUCACAAUCUGUUGACCCCUUAUCUUUUGAAGAUCUGAUGCACAAACUCAGGGCAAUGCUGGUUCCCAACUGGAACUGUGGACCUCAGUGGUGUUGAACAAUCGGGAAAAGAAACAUAAAAUGGAAAGGUCUCCACCAGUCAACCGUAAGAAACAGUGAUGACUAUGAUGUAGCCUUCAGCAUGGGGAAGUACCAAUGCCUGCAUUCUAUGCUACCAGCAGCAGCUGCCCUAGCUUCUUUACCACAUCAACGUUUUCAUACACAUUAUCUCACAAUUUGUCUGCUAAGGUAGGUGUAAGGGACACUGUGGGGAAUUGGGAGCUCUGGGCAGUCUAGCAACUUUGCCAUGGCCACACGGUUAGUAAGUGGUGGCAGCCAGGUCUGGUCCUCAGCCCCAUGCUCCCUCCCUGCCUUGUGUGGAGGAAGCCCCUUGUCACCCACCAUUUCUACCAUAUGAAGAGUGAUGACAUUCUUCCAAGAUUUCAGGAGAAUUAAUUGUGGUUGACAUUUUGUGACAUCCUUAAAUAUUCUUUGCAUUAUUAUGAUACAGCACAGAGCUUUGUGAUAAUUCAUGGAAUUUUUUUUUUUUACCAUUCAUCUAAGCUGUCAAUUUUCUACUUUUAUAAAUCAUGUUGUGUUGAGCAUUUCUGUUUUGAGUAUUUGACCAAAUUUCUAAUUAUUUCCUUAAGGUAGAUUCCUAAAAAUGAAAUUACUGAACCUGAAUAUGAACUCUUUUGAAGCUCUUGAUACAUAGCUCCAGUUACUUUUACUGAAAGACCUAUCACACUGUUCUUCCACCAGCAGUAUUUUUAAAAUGUGCCUGUUUCAUCAUAUGCACACACACACACACACACACACAAAUAUAUAUAUAUAUAUGUAUUUCACUAAUUUGACAGGUGAAGAUUAUUGUUUUAAUAUCUACUUUAUUGACUACUAGUUAGACUACAGUCAUUUUUAUUAGUCAUUAGUUUGUUUAUCAAGUGCUCCUUUGUAUAUUUUGUCCCUUCAUUGUAUGGAUAUGUUAAUUUCCUUAAUUGAUUUCUGUGAGCUUUUCCUAUAAUCAACAAUCAAUGGUUUAUCAUUUGUUUGUAAAAUUUCCCUGGAUUUCCCCCUUGCUUUGGUGGCCUUGUUGUAUCUUCAUUAUUGAUGAUGACUUCUAGAACUAGGCUGCCCUGUCUCCUGUAGUUCUUCCCCCCAAAUGCUUCCCGAUGUCCCAAUGUGUGGGAAACUGUUUAAGUCACAAGCCUGAGAUUCAAUCAUUGAAUAGUCUUGUGUUAGCGCAUGGUGUAGUGGUGAGAAACAUAGUACAUAAAGGAAGCACACCAUACGGGGGCUUCCUUUGAGCACAGAAUGAGUUACUGAAAUAAUAGGCAGAUGAAACAAGGAGGAACGGGGAGAAACACGGGAUGGUGCAUGGGAAAAGCAAGGCAGCAGCGGCUUGAGGGGAGAAAGUGGAGUUCAUUUAUCAGCAUCUCCCUUGUGCUCUUCCUUGUGCUCUUCCCAUGGCAGCUGCCUGCUAA
rnacentral:lncRNA from 1 species